rnacentral:rRNA from 1 species
CCUACGGGUGGCAGCAGUGAGGAAUAUUGGUCAAUGGGCGAGAGCCUGAACCAGCCAAGUCGCGUGAGGGAGUACUGCCCUAUGGGUUGUAAACCUCUUUUGUCGGGGAGCAAAAGCCGGACGUGUCCGGCUGUGAGAGUACCCGAAGAAAAAGCAUCGGCUAACUCCGUGCCAGCAGCCGCGGUAAUACGGAGGAUGCGAGCGUGAUCCGGAUUUAUUGGGUUUAAAGGGUGCGCAGGCGGAUUUUUAAGUCAGCGGUAAAAUCGUGGGGCUCAACCCCAUCCAGCCGUUGAAACUGGGGAUCUAGAGUGUGCGAGAGGUAUGCGGAAUGCGUGGUGUAGCGGUGAAAUGCAUAGAUAUCACGCAGAACCCCGAUUGCGAAGGCAGCAUACCGGUGCACAACUGACGCUCAGGCACGAAAGCGUGGGUAUCGAACAGGAUUAGAUACCCUAGUAGUC